rnacentral:rRNA from 1 species
CAGCAGCCGCGGUAAUACAGAGGGUGCGAGCGUUAAUCGGAUUUACUGGGCGUAAAGCGUGCGUAGGCGGCUUCUUAAGUCGGAUGUGAAAUCCCUGAGCUUAACUUAGGAAUUGCAUUCGAUACUGGGAAGCUAGAGUAUGGGAGAGGAUGGUAGAAUUCCAGGUGUAGCGGUGAAAUGCGUAGAGAUCUGGAGGGAUACCGAUGGCGAAGGCAGCCAUCUGGCCUAAUACUGACGCUGAGGUACGAAAGCAUGGGGAGCAAACAGGAUUAGAUACCCGAGUAGUCCCUGUCUCUUAUAU